UUCUGGUGCAGUUCUUAAAGAAAAAGAAGAAAAGAAGUAAAGAAAAAAGAAGAAAAUGCAUUAGGUUGAACCAUAACUUGGAGAGAUCUGAAAGCCACUAACAGAUGGGCGUUUUUCAUCAUGAAGUGGUGUUUUUUAAAGAAUGUAAAUAUUUAUGUUGCUGGUGGUAUAGGACUCGAUUUUAAAAUUGAUAGAAGAGGAAUUUUUUGUAAUCAAACAAGUUCCUGUUUCUGCUCUGAAAAUAAAGGGAAAUCUUCAAGAGUGAGGGAUUUAUAAAACCAAAGAACAGAAAAAAAGCCCAUCACGCUUCAAGGGAACAAAAUGAGAAGUGUGGCUUAAAGAAAGAGACAAGGAAAGAGCUGGUCCUGAUUCAUCUUCUGUAGAAGCAGUGGCUGCAUCAUCAGUUUUCUUCUUUGCUGGCAAGCUUGGCCUCAGUGUAAUCUACCAAAGUUAAAAGAAGCAC
ensembl:lncRNA